rnacentral:lncRNA from 1 species
ACUCCCUUAUUCUCUGCACAAGUAAAAAGGCUCUAUUAAGCCCCAUUGCAACACACUGCAAUCUGUUUGGAGUUGUAGGUUCUUAUGGCAGAUGACUUCUAAAAUAGACCACUAGCUACCUGUGAAGACACCAAAUCUAUGGAUUUCCACCCUGUCAGAAUCUAGACUGUUAUCCAGCUCUUUCCCCUUUACAUCCUUCACUAACUCCUCCCUCAACUAUCCAUCUGUCUCCCUUUCCUGUUGUUACCUCAAAAAUCGGUAACAGAUAAGUAAGACUAAGGUUCGGACCCAGAUUAAUAUCUCUAUUACUUUUAAAACCCAUAAGGUAAGUAAAAACAAUCCAGUGUAAAGAUAGAUUUACUAAGAUUUAUUAAAAUUAAACAAAUUAACAAAGGCAACAGAAUAAUAGCUCAGAGGUUUGACCCAAAAGGGCAUAAAGACCGGCUCCCUUCUACCCUGGCAAGCUAUGGGAACUCCUUUACUUGCAGGAAAUGACUUUCACCGGCAACUCAGAUGGAAAGGCAGACAGCUGGUUGUGACUGCAGACUACUACAGUUGCUGGAUUCCGGACCUGUAACUGCCUUAGAUAGGAUGACAGGAGGGACACGGACUGAAGCUGGAUCAGGAUACCCCACGAUGGUCUUCAGGUAGUCAGACUAGCCUUGUUGGUGAUUACAACGGAACCCACUCAACGAGGACUUAGUGAAUGGUACUUUUCUGAAAAGAAUCUGUAAAGGACUUUGUCUCCAAUCUGCCACUCAAUACAUUUCAGGUUUGAAUUUAAUCUUUUAUCUAUCUGACAGAUAUUGUAUUUGAAUUGGACAACAAUCUCUCUUUGUGCAUCACUGAGGAACUGGAGCAAUUGGCUGAUGUACUGAUCCACCUGUAUAUGGGGUUGAUAUUAAUCAGGUGGGACCCCUCCUAGCCACCAUAACUCCGGGGUUCUCAUGAGUCUCCCUGUCAUUAUCUCAUGGGGGAUAUACCCAUGAGAUACAAUAGAUAAUCUA